GACCUUCUUCCACCUCCAUACACAGCCAGAAGAGUAAACACUGUGCCUACUUUACUGUACUUUAUUCGCUGCUUGAGAGUCAUGAUGAGAUAAUGACAAAGUGCUUACUGUGUUAUUAUAUUACAUUAUAUCAUUCUCGUUCUACUUUCAACACUUAGCAUUUAGGCUUUGUCAGUACUGAAACUGAUACAGUAAAGCUCUACUGACUUGAGAACGAAUUGAAACUUAGGACAGAAAAGGGAAAGGACAGAGGAAGGAAUGUGAGGAAUCUGAAUCGUCCGUGCUGUAAACGCAUUCUGGCCGAAGAAUUCAAAGAGGCAGCCAAGAAGCAGAAGAAUGGGAGGCUUGGCGCUGUGUUUGGCCUCUCUUUAGCAGCAGGGAGUCGCUAACUGCCUGCGAGGCCUGCUGUCUUCCCCCAGAGUUCAGGCUUUGAAGAGUGCUGUGCAUCACUUAUUCCCUUUCAUGUCUGCACUAUCUUGGGAAGCCACUGCAAGGGAGAUUUCAAAGGGGAGGACCAGAGGAGGGCAAGACUCCAGAGACCGCUCUCGCCCUUCCACUAGGCCUGAAGGAGAAAUUCCAAAAACGCUCAGCAGCAGCAGUACACAUACAGUAUGGUAGAGCAACAAUAGCUGAAUUUAGAACAGACAAAGAGUGUCAGCCAUUUUGUGGGCUUUAAGUGUGCAUUUUAAAACAGAGGAUAAUUACAGUUGAAGGCAAAAGUUGCACCCUGCAAAGUUUCUAGCUGGAAGGAAAAUUGAAUGAAGAAGCAAAAAUCUAAUUAAAUAAUUUUGAAAUGUAAUGUGGGUCUCAUGCAAUCAGGCAAAAUCUACAGAAAAGUAGCAUCCAUCCAUCUGCUAUACUGCUUAUCCUUCAGGGUCACAGGAAUCUUGGAGCCUAUACCAGGGACCAUCGGGCACAAGGUGGGGUACACCCUGGUCAGGGUGCCAAUCCAUCAUAGGGCACAAUCACACACACCCAUUCAUACACUACGGACACUUUGGACAUGCCAAUCAGUCUACCAUGCAUGUCUUUGGACUGGGGGAGGAAACCGGAGUACAUGGAGGAAACCCCACAGCACGGGGAGAACAUCCAAACUCCACACACACAGGACAGCGGCUGGAAUCGAACCCCCAGCCCUGGAGGUGUGAAGUGAACGUGCUAACCACGUUUAGAAAGGGUGAUGAAAACAUUUGAAGUGAUAUAUUUAUUUUCUCACAAUAUAUAAAAACAUAUGCUAUUUAACUAUUUUUGUUGUUAACUAUAAUGUAGGAACAUCUGUAAAGCCUAACAUUUUGCCCAGAACUUAUACAAACAUUUGCACUCAUCUAUGAGGUUAGUGUACAGACCUUUUAAAUGUAACAGGAAGCAGAGUUUUAUGCUCAUGAUCUGAGUUUAUGUUUUACAUUUGUGUCUUAACAUUUCU
ensembl:lncRNA